UACGGGGGGGGCAAGCGUUGUUCGGAAUUACUGGGCGUAAAGGGCUCGUAGGCGGCCAACUAAGUCAGACGUGAAAUCCCUCGGCUUAACCGGGGAACUGCAUCUGAUACUGGAUGGCUUGAGAUUGGGAGAGGGAUGCGGAAUUCCAGGUGUAGCGGUGAAAUGCGCAGAUAUCAGGAGGAACACCGGUGGCGAAGGCGGUUCUCUGGGCAUGUCCUGACGCUGAGGAGCGAAAGUGUGGGGAGCGAACAGG
rnacentral:rRNA from 1 species